AUGGAGGCGGAUGGCCCCGACGGCUGGCACCUUGCGCGUGGCCGCAAACGCCCCCGCUCCCUCCGACCGCGGCGCCCUUGCCGGGGUCCUGUCGACGCGCCCCGUCGACCGCCGUCGUGGCUCCGGGAGGGGGAGUGCCCUAGGUGCUUCAGCACCAGCCACCCGCGCUCGGAGUGCCGCCGGGACAUCCGUUGCGGCCGCUGCCGCUGCUUCGGGCACAAGGUCCGCGAGUGCACCAUGCCGCGUGCCGCCGCACCAUCCUCCCCCUCAUCCCAUGGCGCCUCGCCCCCCCGCUCCGUCGCCGUGUUUCCCCUUCGGGGUCCGGCACCCCACUCGCCCCCCGAGUGCUCCGCUCCAUCCAGCUCGCGCCCUGCUGCCGCGAGUCCUGGUGAUCGUCCCGCGUCCUCCGGGUCGACUGCCGCGGGGUCGCCGUGCUCUGGUGGGUCUGCACCCGCGUCCUCCGGGUCGCAGCCCGCCCCUGCUUCGCCGGCGACCUCCGCUUCUGCCGCGUCCACCCCACUCUCCGGCCACCCUGCGCGCCGCGCCGCCGGCGCCAUCUGCUACCUCCCUCGGUCCGCGGAGCUUGUUGCGGCAGAGCGGGAUCUCGAGCGCGCGCUGCUCGCCACGGUCGCUGGACGCCAUUCUGGUGUGUCCAGGGAGGCUGUCUUCGACGCGCUGCGCGCACGCUACGGCCUCGCUGCGCAUGAGUUCUCCGCCCACACCCACGCCUCUGACGAUUUCCUCAUCAAGUUCUCCUCCGCCGCCUCGCACGCACGUGUUGCCGCUGGCGGCCUCCGCACCGGCAACUUCCGCCUGAUCUUCACCCCCUGGAGCCUCUUCCGUGACGCUGUUCCGGUGAAGGCGCAUUUCCUCGUCUCUGUUGAGAUCAAGGGAAUCCCCGGCCAUGCUUGGCACCGGGCUUCUGCCGAGUUCCUUCUCUCGCCAUUCUGCCGGGUGGAAAAUCUGGCACCGGAGACUAGGAAUGCAUCUGACAUGUCCGUCUUUUGCCUGACCGCCUGGACCACCAAUCCGGACGGCAUCCCGCGCACCUCGGAGCUCCUCAUGCCGGAGCACGACGCCGUCGAGGAGGAUGCCGAUCCUGCGUCCGCGGAGCGUCUCUCACUUGGUUUGACGCGUUUUCCCGUCGAGAUCCAUUUCUGGAGCUGCGUCGACUACCGCCGCCCCUCUCCGCUGCCUCCCCCGUCGCCCGCCGACGGGGCCGGUGACUGCGACGCCCCCCUGGCUCACCCCUUGUUCCUGGUCCCUGGCCGCGCAUUCAUGAGUUUCCUGAGCAUCCCCCCGGUGCGUCUUCCCUCCGGACCUCAGGCAGCGCUCCCCGCCGGCGCCGGCGCAGGCAUGCUCCCCCUCCUUGUUACGACUGGCAAGGCAUUCUGGGGCCGUACCCCACGGCCGCUGCAGCCGCGCCCCGGGUUCGCGCUACGCUCCACCUCGGCGCCCCUUCGUCGUUGCCGGCCUCUCCGGCGUGUGCUCUGGCGACGUCUCGCGCGCCCGCAUCGGAUCCCUCUGAUGCGCGGGACCCAGCUGUGCCCAGUCCUGGUCGGCCUGCGCUUCUGGAAAGCGCCGCCGCCCAGGCUUUUGACACCGCUGCUGACGCCACUACGACCGCUUUGA
rnacentral:rRNA from 1 species